rnacentral:rRNA from 1 species
CAGCCGCCGCGGUAAUACGAAGGGGGCUAGCGUUGUUCGGAUUUACUGGGCGUAAAGCGCACGUAGGCGGAUCCUUAAGCCAGAGGUGAAAUCCCAAGGCUCAACCUUGGAACUGCCUUUGAUACUGGGGAUCUCGAGUUCGGGAGAGGUGAGUGGAACUGCGAGUGUAGAGGUGAAAUUCGUAGAUAUUCGCAAGAACACCAGUGGCGAAGGCGGCUCACUGGCCCGAUACUGACGCUCAUGCACGAAAGCGUGGGGAGCAAACAGGAUUAGAUACCCCAGUAGUCCCUGUCUCUUAUAC